UUCACCUGAAAACAGAAAAAACAAAAAGGAAUGAGAUUCAGAAGCACAGAGGAAUGAGAGGUUGGAGAACAGAGGAAGGAGAGGUUGGAGAACAGAGGAAGGAGAGGUUGGAGAACAGAGGAAGGAGAGGUUGGAGAACAGAGGAAGGAGAGGUUGGAGAACGGAGGAAGGAGAGGUUGGAGAACAGAGGAAUGAGAGGUUGGAGAACAGAGGAAUGGCAGCAAGGACAAGA